rnacentral:tRNA from 1 species
GGCUUGCUGCUCUUGUGGUAUGAUUCUCACUUUGGGUGCGAGAGGUCACGGGUUCGAUUCCCGUGCAAGCCC